CAGAAAUUCACAUCUCUGACUUUGAAGGGGCCGCUCUCAGCCCUGGUGGGUCUUUCCCAAAGACUAAGGUUUCUAGAACCAGCUAAUAGCUGUGCUGUUAGCCCUUUGCCCACACUGCCCACGGAAAACUAACUCCUGCCUGCCAACGUGGCUCCUGCAAUGUCUGCUAAAGAAACAAGCCCAAAUUAGAGAAACUCCAGAUGAAAGAACAUCAUCUGACAAAAAGAGCUGCCCUCAGGAGCUGCCCCUCAGGAGCUGUCCACGGUGGCGAACCCUUUCCGGCCUCAGUCUACUGCUGAUAUGAGAAGCUGUCCAGGGUGGUGCAUCACUUUUUCUGCCUCAGUAGGAGGGGCCUCUCAGGAGCAGCCACCCCUCAGGAGCUAUCCACAGUGGUGACACCUUCUAUCCUGCAUCAGCCUACAGCUUUCAGAAACACUACUUAGGAGCUGUCCACAUUGGCAACACCUCCUCUCCAGCCUCCCCGACCCCAGUAGUGCCACUACAGAGAUGUUACCUCAGCAAAAGCCAGCUGCAGCCAGGAAGGACUUCCCACCCCAAGCAAUGGGCCUGAUGCAGAGAAAAGGGGGUGAAAAAAAAGCCACCAGUCUCUUAGCAGGAAACCACACCAGUCCCUGAGCUCCCCAAACUCAGGACUUGAACUCCCACCACUCCUCAGUCAGAAAAGCUCUGCCCUGAAAAACUCUGUCACCUCAGAUAGAGAUCCUAUAUAAGCC